UCUCCGUGCAGCGCACGGCGAAUUGUAAUCUAGAGAGGCUAUUCUCAAAGAGUGGUGGCGCAGAAGUGUCCUGGAACGGACCGCCAAAGAGGGUGACAGCCCCGUACGUGGUGCCGCAGCUUAACAAGUAGGUCUUCAAAGAGUCGGGUUGUUUUGUAUUGCAGCCCUAAGUGGGAGAUAAACUUCUUCUAAGGCUAAAUAUAUGUGGGAAACCGAUAGCGAACAAGUACUGUGAAGGAAAGAUGAAAAGCACUUUGGAAAGAGAGUCAAAAGACCUGAAACCGUUGAGGAGGAAGCGGAAGAGAUGUAUUCUACGGCGAGGCGCAGGUUUAGCGGCCGAACUAUGGCGGGCUGGUCGUACGUCAAAGGCGAACGCUUGUCCGUGGGGAAGCCGGGGGCUAGCGCGGCGUUGUGAGGCCGGAUGGAGUCACGUGAUCACAGAGGCCUGCUUAACCUGGUGCGCUUCGGCGUGCAGUUUGGGAGUGCCGGUGGACACGUGGCUCGAGGGUGCUUUGUGCGAUCCGGUCAAAAUGGUCUUUUCCGGCUCGUCUUGAAACACGAACCAAGGAGUCUA
rnacentral:rRNA from 1 species